rnacentral:misc_RNA from 1 species
GAUGAAGAACGCAGUGAAAUGCGAUACGUAAUGUGAAUUGCAGAAUUCAGUGAAUCAUCGAAUCUUUGAACGCAUAUUGCGCUCUCUGGUAUUCCGGAGAGCAUGCUUGUUUGAGUAUCAGUAAACACCUCAACUUCCAUAUCUUUUUUGAAAUGGGAGUUGGACUUGAGUGAUCCCAACGCUUUUCCUCACCGAAAAGUGGCGGGUUACUUGAAAUGCAGGUGCAGCUGGACUUUUCUCUGAGCUAUAAGCAUAUCUAUUUAGUCUGCCUAAAAAACAGAUUAUUACCUUUGCUGCAGCUAACAUAAAGGAGAUUAGUUCUUGUGCUGACUGAUGCAGGAUUCACAAAGACAGGCUUCGGCCGACUUUGUAAACUCGAUCUCAAAUCAAGUAAGACUACCCGCUGAACUUAAGCAUAUCAAUAGCGGAGGA